GGGUUCAAUUCCGGAGAGGGAGCCUGAGAAACGGCUACCACAUCUAAGGAAGGCAGCAGGCGCGCAAAUUACCCAAUUCUAACAGCAUAAGAGAGGUAGUGACAAGAAAUAACAGUACAAGGCAGUUAAAAUGCUUUGUAAUUGGAAUGAUAGAAAUUUAAAUACUUUUUAAAGUAUCAAUUGGAGGGCAAGUCUGGUGCCAGCAGCCGCGGUAAUUCCAGCUCCAAUAGCGUAUAUUAAAAUUGUUGCAGUUAAAAAGCUCGUAGUUGAAUUUUUGCUAAAAAUAACCGGUCUGCUUUUAUUAAUAGAAGUGGUAUCUUGGUGUGUUUUUAGCAAUAAUGUCCUUUGAAGUGUUUUUUACUUUAUUGUAAAAAGCAAUUUUGAGGAUUUUUACUUUGAGAAAAUUAGAGUGUUUCAAGCAGGCUAACGUUUUGAAUACUGCAGCAUGGAAUAAUAAAAUAGGAUUUUAGUUCUACGUUAUUGGUUUU
rnacentral:rRNA from 1 species